rnacentral:rRNA from 1 species
UACGUAGGGGGCAAGCGUUGUCCGGAAUCAUUGGGCGUAAAGCGCGUGUAGGCGGCUCGGUAAGUCUGCUGUGAAAGUCCAGGGCUCAACCCUGGGAUGCCGGUGGAUACUGUCGAGCUCGAGUCCGGAAGAGGCGAGUGGAAUUCCUGGUGUAGGCGGUGAAAUGCGCAGAUAUCAGGAGGAACACCAAUGGCGAAGGCAGCUCGCUGGGACGUGACUGACGCUGAGACGCGAAGCGUGGGGAGCAAACAGG